rnacentral:lncRNA from 1 species
GCCUAAGUUCACCGCUCAGCGGUUUGCCUCUUGCCGCUUUGACCGCUCAGCGGUUAGUUUUGCCGUUGAGCAGUUUCCCUCUAAUCGCUCUGAGCGCUCAGCGGACCAUUCUGGCGCUCAGCGGCUCACUUGACCCUUCUUUUCAUCAUUUUUCUCCUUCUUUCAUGGGUCUAAGUCCACCUUACUUCACUUCCAUCUUUANNUCAUCUAAAAACCCUGC